CCUACGGGGGGCAGCAGUGAGGAAUAUUGGUCAAUGGGCGCGAGCCUGAACCAGCCAAGUAGCGUGAAGGAUGACUGCCCUACGGGUUGUAAACUUCUUUUAUAAAGGAAUAAAGUGAGGCACGUGUGCCUUUUUGUAUGUACUUUAUGAAUAAGGAUCGGCUAACUCCGUGCCAGCAGCCGCGGUCAUACGUAGGAUCCGAGCAUUAUCCGGGGUGACUGGGUGUAAAGAGUUGCGUAAGUGGCAUAAUAAGUAGCUAGGGAAAUCUGGGGGCUCAACCAUUCAGAUUAUUAGCUAAACUGUUAAGCUUGAGAACGUUAGGGGUAACUGGAAUUUGUAGUGUAGGAGUGAAAUGCUUAGAUAUUAGAAGGAACACCAAUAGCGUAGGCAGGUUGCUGGGACGGUUCUGACACUAAGGCACGAAAGCGUAGGGAGCAAACGGGAUUAGAUACCCGGGUAGUC
rnacentral:rRNA from 1 species